GUCGAACGGUAACAGGUAAAGCUGACGAGUGGCGAACGGGUGAGUAAUGUAUCGGAACGUGCCCAGUCGUGGGGGAUAACUACUCGAAAGAGUGGCUAAUACCGCAUGAGACCUGAGGGUGAAAGCGGGGGACUCGCAAGAGCCUCGCGCGAUUGGAGCGGCCGAUAUCAGAUUAGCUUGUUGGUGGGGUAAAAGCCCACCAAGGCGACGAUCUGUAGCUGGUCUGAGAGGACGACCAGCCACACUGGGACUGAGACACGGCCCAGACUCCUACGGGAGGCAGCAGUGGGGAAUUUUGGACAAUGGACGCAAGUCUGAUCCAGCCAUGCCGCGUGCGGGAAGAAGGCCUUCGGGUUGUAAACCGCUUUUGUCAGGGAAGAAACGGGUUUGUCUAAUACACGGACCUAAUGACGGUACCUGAAGAAUAAGCACCGGCUAACUACGUGCCAGCAGCCGCG
rnacentral:rRNA from 1 species